rnacentral:rRNA from 1 species
UGGGGAAUAUUGGACAAUGGGCGCAAGCCUGAUCCAGCAAUGCCGCGUGUGUGAAGAAGGCCUUCGGGUUGUAAAGCACUUUUAUCAGGAGCGAAACGCUGUCGGCUAAUACCCGGCGGAACUGACGGUACCUGGGGAAUAAGCACCGGCUAACUUCGUGCCAGCAGCCGCGGUAAUACGAAGGGUGCAAGCGUUAAUCGGAAUUACUGGGCGUAAAGCGUGCGUAGGCGGUUUCUUAAGUCUGCUGUGAAAUCCCCGGGCUCAACCUGGGAAUGGCAGUGGAUACUGGGAGGCUAGAGUGUGUCAGAGGGUGGUGGAAUUCCCGGUGUAGCGGUGAAAUGCGUAGAGAUCGGGAGGAACAUCAGUGGCGAAGGCGGCCACCUGGGACAACACUGACGCUGAGGCACGAAAGCGUGGGGAGCAAACAGGAUUAGAUACCCUGGUAGUCCACGCCCUAAACGAUGCGAACUGGAUGUUGGUCUCAACUCGGAGAUCAGUGUCGAAGCUAACGCGUUAAGUUCGCCGCCUGGGGAGUACGGUCGCAAGACUGAAACU